CUCUCGGUGGCCAAGUUGGUUUAAGGCGUCAGACUGUAAUGUUACAAAGUCAUCUGAACAUCGGGCGUUCGAAUCGCCCCCGAGAGA
rfam:Cyberlindnera jadinii strain CBS1600 genome assembly, contig: CJ2